rnacentral:rRNA from 1 species
UCACACCACGAGAGUUUGUAACACCCGAAGUCGGUAGGGUAACCUUUAUGGAGCCAGCCGCCGAAGGUGGGACAGAUAAUUGGGGUGAAGUCGUAACAAGGUAGCCGUAUCGGAAGGUGCGGCUGGAUCACCUCCUUU